GACGAACGCUGGCGGCGUGCUUAACACAUGCAAGUCGAACGGAAAGGCCCUGCUUUUGUGGGGUGCUCGAGUGGCGAACGGGUGAGUAACACGUGAGUAACCUGCCCUUGACUUUGGGAUAACUUCAGGAAACUGGGGCUAAUACCGGAUAGGAGCUCCUGCUGCAUGGUGGGGGUUGGAAAGUUUCGGCGGUUGGGGAUGGACUCGCGGCUUAUCAGCUUGUUGGUGGGGUAGUGGCUUACCAAGGCUUUGACGGGUAGCCGGCCUGAGAGGGUGACCGGCGACAUUGGGACUGAGAUACGGCGCAGACGCCUACAGGAGGCAGCGGUGGGGAAUAUUGCACAAUGGGAGGAAGGCUGAUGCAGCAACGCCGCGUGCGGGAUGACGGCCUUCGGGUUGUAAACCGCUUUCGCCUGGGACGAAGCGUGAGUGACGGUAAUGGGUAGAGAAGCACCGGCUAACUACGUG
rnacentral:rRNA from 1 species